GACGAACGCUGGCGGCGUGCUUAACGCAUGCAAGUCGAACGGAAAGGCCCUGCUUUUGUGGGGUGCUCGAGUGGCGAACGGGUGAGUAACACGUGAGUAACCUGCCCUUGACUUUGGGAUAACUUCAGGAAACUGGGGCUAAUACCGGAUAGGAGCUCCUGCUGCAUGGUGGGGGUUGGAAAGUUUCGGCGGUUGGGGAUGGACUCGCGGCUUAUCAGCUUGUUGGUGGGGUAGUGGCUUACCAAGGCUUUGACGGGUAGCCGGCCUGAGAGGGUGACCGGCCACAUUGGGACUGAGAUACGGCCCAGACUCCUACGGGAGGCAGCAGUGGGGAAUAUUGCACAAUGGGCGGAAGCCUGAUGCAGCAACGCCGCGUGCAGGAUGACGGCCUUCGGGUUGUAAACCGCUUUCGCCUGUGACGAAGCGUGAGUGACGGUAAUGGGUAAAGAAGCACCGGCUAACUACGCG
rnacentral:rRNA from 1 species